rnacentral:rRNA from 1 species
UGCCUAAAACAUGCAAGUCGAACGACCACUUACGGGGUAGUGGCGAACGGCGUAGUAAUACGUGAUAAACGUGCCCUUAAUGACUGGGAUAUACCGAGGAAACCCGGAACAAUACCAGAUGUGACGGAGUGGUGGCAUCACCAUUCCAUUAAGCGGUUUUCCGCUUAAGGAGCGUCUCAUGGCCUAUCGGGUAGUUGGUAGAGGUAAUGGCUCACCAAGGCUACGAUCGGUAGCUGGUCUAAGAGGAUGAUCAGCCACACUGGUACUGGAACACGGACCAGACUCCUACGGGAGGCAGCAGUUAGGAAUUUUGCGCAAUGGGGGAAACCCUGACGCAGCAACGCCGCGUGAAGGAUGAAGGCC